ACUCACAAUUUACUUUUGCGAGCUGAUGGUGGGUUCCGAGUGUGAUGAAUUGAGUUUUGCUCCAGUUAAACUUAAGACGGGUUGACAUUAUCCACCUGUUUGUCGCCAAUGCACAAUAUCAGAGGUGGAACGUGAAAGACACACAAAUUGCCUUUUGAGUGAAUGUAGGGCUGUAUAUCAUCAGCAUAUGAAUGCAGGCCGAUAUUAUGAUAAUGUGCAAUGCAGAUGACAUCAAUGGUGGAGAGUAGGAAGCGCACCGCACCAAGCACACUACCUUGUGGCACAUCACAUGUCACUGGUGACCUUUCUGACUUGCUACCAGCAAAGCUGACUGUGUCUGACCUGUAAUGAAGUACACCAUGAGUUGAUUUCCGAGAUACGAACAAAUCGACUUACAAACGGGUCUCAAGACAGUAACUGUUCAUAAGUCGAGGACUGUCCAUACUGUAUCUUGAUUUAAAAAAUGGACUUGGACAGAUCAUGCCAACAGAAAGAAUGAUAACUGCUGUUCGAGAAUAACAGUGGCAGCAAUGUGAGGGAAUGCACCAAAGAGAGCAACUUUCCUGGAAAUGGAGCAAUUUAAUAAGCGCUUGUGCAAAUGUUCUGGAAUUUUCCAUCACAUAAUCAUUGGUAUAUGAUGAUGACCUCUGAAGGCUUUCAUUCAGCAGUUGAUUGAUCAUGAAAACGUUGAUGCAGUUACAAACUGAACACAAUUAUCCAGGCGAUAAUCUACAUCUGUAUCUAAAUUCAAAAUGUCACGAAAACAAUAAAUACUGUUUCAGUUCAACUUUGCAUUGCCCACAAGUAGUAAAGAAUCCUAUUUGCUAGGGUACGUUAUGCGUCACAGCCCACAUUCCUCUCCACCCACAUAUAAAUGUGAGCGUCCUUCUCGGGGUAUUCAGUCAUCCUCCGCGGCUAUUCUUUCGCGUAUAAAACGUUAAUAAUUUGCUCCUUUACAGAAAGCCCUUAACAUAUGUAUUUUUUGCAUCCGAUGUUUGUGUUUCCUAUUACGUGUCAUUCAACGUCUAAGUUAAGCUGUGCCAAGGGUCUGCAAACACAGCGGCGAAGCAAACAUCCCUUGGACUGGACGCACUCUGACUUCCGUUCAACUGCUAAGGUAAAGAGCAAGUCAGUCAACCUUCAAUCACAGUGAGACUUGGAUCCAUCAUCUUAUGGUGCAUUAUAACAAGAGAAACAUGGACCGCAGUGGGUUUAGCAAAGCAGCUCUAACACUGAGGAAAGAUGUCAACGAAAGUACUGAAGUGCAUAUGUCUCUAAUUAAGUCUGUUAAAAAAGAAUCAGGCUUACAAUUGACUGUGUUUGUGCAGGAGGUGAACACAAUAGGUCUGGAAUAUCGUGACACGAAAAAAAACUGUAAUGUUAUGAUUGAUACAAUCACGACGUCUGUUGAUAAGAUUAUAGAUUGGUUGGAAGAUGUAAAAUUAAGAAAGAAAUUCAUAAAGGUUGCGUUCAAAGAAAUAGGAAUUGUCUUAAAUAAACUCCUGUCAUCAGUUAAGGAAGCUGUCAAUGCACAGGAAAAUAUAGUUACAAAAUCCCAGAUUUUAAUAAACGAAUCGUUCCUGGAAAAAGGGAAACAUGCUAAAUAUGCUGGUGCAUGUGAACAGGAUGUCAGAAGGGAAUUAAAGAAUGUGGCACUUUCAGACAAAGAAAACACAAUCAAAGAGAAAAGAGGACUGAAAAACAAGUUUGGAGCCUAUACAAAGUAUGUAACCAACAGGUGUGUAGCAAAGUGGUCAUCAGAUGUAGUGGCAGAGUUCAGAAAGGAACAUGGAUCCAUGGUAAAAUUGCUGACCGAGUUUAACGAGCAAAUGGAAUAUGUCAGUGAAAAUUUGAACAAAGAAAAAUGUAACCUUUCAAAUAUAUACAGAUCUCUAGAAAUUUUUAAGAGAGAUAUAGAUAGAUCUAACAAUAGACCUUAUUUUAUUAUUAACUUAAUGGUGGAAAAACACAUUUCGGAAUGUUUAAGAAUCAAGGAAUACUGUAAAAGAAUGCUAUGAUUCGCUUCUCAAUAGCACUAGAAUUCUCAGUAGCGAUUGUACACCUGUUAACUAUUCAGGAAGUUAAUUUGAAAAUAUAAAAUUCUAAUUUGCUCAUUUAAUAAUUCUUUUAAAAUAAAUAGUACUGUCCAUAAUACAGUUUUUUUUAAAGCUAUUGUAAUUACUGGCAAAACAUUGUACUCAGAUUGUAUAUGCUGUGG